rnacentral:rRNA from 1 species
AACGAACGCUGGCGGCAGGCCUAACACAUGCAAGUCGAGCGAAGCCUUCGGGCUUAGCGGCGGACGGGUGAGUAACGCGUGGGAACGUGCCCUUUGGUACGGAAUAGCCCCGGGAAACUGGGAGUAAUACCGUAUGUGGCCGAGAGACGAAAGAUUUAUCGCCAAAGGAUCGGCCCGCGUUGGAUUAGGUAGUUGGUGGGGUAAUGGCCUACCAAGCCGACGAUCCAUAGCUGGUUUGAGAGGAUGAUCAGCCACACUGGGACUGAGGCACGGCCCAGACUCCUACGGGAGGCAGCAGUGGGGAAUCUUGGACAAUGGGGGAAACCCUGAUCGAGCCAUGCCGCGUGAUCGAUGAAGGCCUUAGGGUUGUAAAGAUCUUUCAGUGGGGAAGAUAAUGACUGUACCCACAGAAGAAGCCCCGGCUAACUCCGUGCCAGCAGCCGCAGUAAAAC